rnacentral:rRNA from 1 species
AUUGAACGCUGGCGGCAGGCCUAACACAUGCAAGUCGAGCGGAGCGGCGGACGGGUGAGUAAUGCUUAGGAAUCUGCCUGUUAGUGGGGGACAACAUCUCGAAAGGGACGCUAAUACCGCAUACUUAUAGAUGAGCCUAUGUCGGAUUAGCUAGUUGGUGGGGUAACGGCUUACCUAGGCGACGAUCCAUAGCUGGUCUGAGAGGAUGAUCAGCCACACUGGAACUGAGACACGGUCCAGACUCAUACGGGAGGCAGCAGUGGGGAAGAUUGGGCAAUGGGCGAAAGCCUGAUCCAGCCAUGCCGCGUGUGUGAAGAAGGUCUUCGGAUUGUAAAGCACUUUGAGCUGGGAGGCGUGACCCAAAGAGUAAGCACCGGCUAACUCCGUGCCAGCAGCCGCGGUAAUAG